rnacentral:lncRNA from 1 species
CUUGCUCUGAUAUCUCUAGAUACUCUCUAUUUCUUGUUCACUUAUCGCUAGUGUUGUAGACGCCUUAUAUAUGUUGGCAUAUUGUCACGCCCCGACCCUAAAACCAAUUCGGUCCGAGUCGGGCGCGUCAAACAGACGCCGAACGGACAGCACCUCCCCUGUCCGCCCAAGACUAAGCAAACUGAUCAUGUAUAAGAAUUUACCCAGGAAUCAAUUCAUACAUACAUGAUCACAAGGAGCACCACCAGUGCUAAUAGAUAAGAGCAAGAUACAAGUAUGAGACAUACAAGUAAAUAAAAAGAGAAAGUUCUUUCUAUUACAUUCAUUCAACCUCUUUAAUACAUCAAUUUACUUUCGAAACAUAAACAUAAAUAUAACAUGCUUUUACAUCUUCCAAAAUAACCUCACACCUAUACAUCGUCUACUCUCAAAUACAAUGGGUGACGGCUAAUGCAAAAAGGUAGAUAGCUAAUGCAACUAGGGCGCUAGGCCCUUACCGGGAUCCUCGCCGUGUGAACUCGCGCUCGGCCCUGCAACAAAGUGGGGUGAGAACUAUUGUCCAUAGUUCCCAGUGGGUUCGGCCGCCGACUCCGCCGGUCUCCCCACUAGGUCCAAGUGGGCACAAAUAGAUAAACAAAUAGAUAGAUAUGGAAAGCUGUGAUAACAGAAUAGUAAAGCUACACUACUAUGCCCGAAUCAUGUAUAAUAGUAAAGCUACACUACUAUGCCCGAAUCAUGUAUAUGAAGAAUGCAUGCACAAUGAAAUAGGUAAUCAACUAGCUCGUCAUAUGUCCAAGAAGUAAAGCUAUUUACUUAUUCAUUAAUCUCGUGGCUCACCCGAGGGUUCGCCUACUACUCACAUAGCCAUCUCGACGCAUAGAGAGACUCAACUCAAACUACGAAUCCGAGACCGUCUGCGGGACCCCACAUAGGCUAUCCCUCGGGACCCCAAAUAGGCUAUCCCUAUCCCACGGGACCCCAAAUAGGCUAUCCCACGUGACCAACUUCGGAGCGCACUACUUGUGUGGAGCGACAAUCACAAGUCAGGAAUAGACAGUGAGUAUGAUCCAAUCCUCUCAACUCGAGGAUACCCUAUCAGCUAAGGAUAGUAUCAACAUAGAACCAAUGGGUUUUUAUACUCAUCAAGCAACUAAUGCAUAAUAUGAU